UUAAUUUGUAGUAUAAGGUUUUAUAGGAAAAAGUAUUUAAAUAAUUUGUGUUGUAAAUUACUUGUAAAUAAUAGUAAUUAGUAAUAAAAAUGAUAAACUGCCCAGUUAACCACAACAACUGGGUCCCAGCUGGAAUGUAACUAGAUUAUUGGAACUGAGUUAUGGCUGGGAUUUGUACUGGGUAAAUGAUGGAUCCCAUAUGGUGCAACGAUUGCGGCAAAAAUUAUGCUUGAAAAUAUGAUAAAAUCUUUUAAAAUGACAUAUGCAGUAACACAGGUUGAAUCGGAUUGAAUAUACACUUGCAUUUAAAGUGAACCGGAACUUAAUUUGUUUUUUUUUUAGUAUUUUUGCAAAAAAUAAUUAUUUACAUAUCAGUUUUAAUUUAUAAUAAAAGUAUAAAUAUUUUAAUAGCAAUAUUUAGAUAUAAUGAAAUACACUAAGUUAGUGUGUUUCAUUUUAAAUUAUCUUUUUCAAGCAAAUCUCAAUGACACUUUACAAAACAUGGUAAGGUUUUACUAAAUAAUACUGCCUUAUCUAAACUUUACAUAUUAUUUAUAAAUACAUAAAUGUUUUACAUUUUCUAUAGUUUAUAUAAUUAAUAAUAUACUUAUAUUAUAAAUACUGUAACUUAUAUUAUAAGUUAUAAUAUAAGGUUUUGUAUGAAAAAUUGUUUAAAUUAUUUAUAUUGUGAAUUAUUUGUACAUAAUAGUAAGUAAUAAUAAAAUUUUUUAGAUGUUUUAAUGUUUAGCUUUAUUUAUCUGAAGUAAUAAGAAAGUUAUCACAUUUUGUUGUGAUAACUUACUUAUUACAAUCAUAAAAUGCUACUUAAGUGCAAUAUAAAAAUGAAAAUGUAGUUUUGAUACUAAUUAUUGCAAAAACUGAAUCUUUCAAUAAUUAUGAGUGUUUUGUAUUUUUCACUUGCUACAAGUUGGUUUGUGUUGAUUUAUGAUUAACAACAAAAAAUGCAUUACUUCAAUAAAUGCUAGUUUUUUACAUAUUAGUUAUAUAUGAAAUGGUUCAUCUUAAUCUAAUUCCCUGCAGGAUGCCUGUUGAAAAGAAAAACUGAAGAAACUUUAAAACUAGGUGAUGCCAACUAAAGAAGUUGAAACACUGUUAUUCAUGGUGUCGAGGCUUCAGCUCUCCAGUUUUUAUUUUUAUAUUUUAUUAUAUAAUGUUAUGUUUAUUUUAUUUUUUAUUUGUAUUAUUUUUGUAACAACAAACUAUGUGAAUAAUUAAUUGACCUGCCCUGGGCCUCUACUUCAAUCUGGCUAACACGUUUAUCGAUUUAUAUAUUGUAUUGAGUUAGCUUGUGAUUUGUACGUGUGUUUUCGUUUGCCUAGUGUUUGUUAGUUAUAUGCAAGAUAUGGCAUGGUAUGGCACACUGCAUGUUAUUCCCUAAAUAAUAUUAUCAAUAAAUAUUUUUAUCUAUACUUUGUAAAUAUAUAUGCUAUAAUUUAUUAUAUUAUUCAAAUGUUUAUUUUUAA